CCGGAAGAUACUUUUAGAAUUGCUGCUUGUUAGCUUUUUUUCAAAAGCAUCAGGUUCCCUUUUCUGCACUUCUUCAGGCAAAACAUGAGAUUACCUUAGCAGUAAUAUUACCCAGAUCUUAGGUGGAUAUGAAGUUCUUACAUAUCAUCUACUCAUCUCAGUGCUUUUCAAAAGAGCCUAGGAACACAUGACAGAUGCCAGCAGAUUCACUGUUAUGGACCUCUUAAUCAUUUGAAAGCAUCAUAUCAUUAUUUUCCUGGCAAUGGCAGACAGGUUUAGAAGAAGUACAGUAUGUGAAGAACAAUGGAGAUGAUUUCAUGCAUCAGAGUAUCCACAUGCACAAUAAACUCCCAGGAGAUGGAACAUACCUGGGGAGUGUGAGAAGUCUGGAGCAGAGAUAUGGGUCCUAAUGCUGGCAUGUGGCUGUUUCAUAAGAAGCAGCAAAGAGAAUUCUAUACCCAGUAUUUCUUAAAUUCAUACUUCCGGCUGGAGAACUUUAACCUCAAACUAACAAUUCUUAUCGAUCUUUCUCAAAUCAACAAUAAAUGUAAUACCUUCAGAGGAAGUUUCCGAGUGCUUUCAGUUAUGGAGACUCAGCACAGACUCCUUGGACACAAAUAUUUCUGAAGCACCGUGACUCCACCUUUUGAAUGAACUCCUUUAAUGUGUCACAUCUGUCUUUCCUGAUCCAGAGUUAUUUUUAAAAUCAUGGCAGUCGAGAGCAUGUUGGUUUCCCAGAAGAUAAUUAGACAAGCCUUUUUUUUUUCCUCUCCCCUCAUCUGAACCUGUCUCUUUUCCUUUCUAAUUUUAAUGUAAACCUUUUUUUGUUUUUAAGGUUACGUAGUGUCUACAGCUCAGUGCAUUAGCAGUGCCUGACAAUCUGGGGCAGACAAGUUAUGUAUCAGUAAUUUAAUAAGUCAUACAGAAAAAAAAAACAGCAUAGAUUUAUUUUGUUUUAAAAUCGAGUAAGGUCAGCUACAUGAGCAAUGUAUCUGCCAACUAUUGUCAUUGUCUGGCUGGGCAAACUCAUUUAUCUUGAUUAGUAAACAACUUAAAAGGCAAAGAAGGUAGAUAGCUUAAGGGACUGUUAUUAGAGCAUAGAACCUUUGAUGUCUGAUGUCUUGCUUAAAUCCAGGCCAAAUCAGUUAUUAGAAAUCCACCACUAUGAGGCAGCUAGCGGAUGCAGUUAAAUAUAUGACUGUUAUUAGAUGGGUGACAGUGGAACAGGCAAUUGUCACGGCUGGGAGGUCUGCACAGUUAAAUCAAUCAAAUUCAAGGUGUCUGCAGAGGAAAUAAUAAAGGUGCAAGCUCAUAACUUCGGAUAAUCA
rnacentral:lncRNA from 1 species